GACGAAUCGUCCUAACGUUGUUCGGAAUCACUGGGCUUAAAGGGCGCGUAGGCGGGCUCUCAAGUCCGGGGUGAAAUCUUUCGGCUCAACCGGAAAAUAGCCUUGGAUACUGGGAGUCUCGAGCGAGGUAGGGGCGGGUGGAACUUCCGGUGGAGCGGUGAAAUGCGUUGAUAUCGGAAGGAACGCCGGUGGCGAAAGCGACCCGCUGGACCUCUUCUGACGCUGAGGCGCGAAAGCCAGGGGAGCAAACGGG
rnacentral:rRNA from 1 species